UACGUAGGGAGCAAGCGUUGUCCGGAAUCAUUGGGCGUAAAGCGCGCGUAGGUGGCUUCGUAAGUCCGUUGUGAAAGUCAAAGGCUCAACCUUUGAAAGCCGAUGGAUACUGUGGAGCUAGAGUACGGAAGAGGCGAGUGGAAUUCCUGGUGUAGCGGUGGAAUGCGCAGAUAUCAGGAGGAACACCAAUAGCGAAAGGCAGCUCGCUGGGACGUACUGACACUGAGGCGCGAAAGCGUGGGGAGCGAACAGG
rnacentral:rRNA from 1 species